rnacentral:rRNA from 1 species
UACGAAGGGGGCUAGCGUUGUUCGGAUUUACUGGGCGUAAAGCGCACGUAGGCGGAUCGUUAAGUCGGGGGUGAAAUCCUGGAGCUCAACUCCAGAACUGCCUUCGAUACUGGCGAUCUAGAGUCCGGAAGAGGUGAGUGGAACUCCUAGUGUAGAGGUGGAAUUCGUAGAUAUUAGGAAGAACACCAGUGGCGAAGGCGGCUGACUGGUCCGGUUCUGACGCUGAGGCGCGAAAGCGUGGGGAGCAAACAGG